rnacentral:rRNA from 1 species
CUAGCUCAGGAUGAACGCUCGCUGUGUGCCUAAUACAUGCAUGUUGAACGGGAUGUAGCAAUACAUUCAGUAGCGAAUGGGUGAGUAACACGUACCUAACCUACCUUUAAGACUGGGAUAACUAUUGGAAACAAUAGCUAAUACCGGAUAUAGUUAUUUAUCGCAUGAUGAGUAAUAGAAAGGAGCUUCACAGCUUCACUUAAAAAUGGGGGUGCGGAACAUUAGUUAGUUGGUAGGGUAAUGGCCUACCAAGACGAUGAUGUUUAGCUGGGCCGAGAGGCUGUACGGCCACACUGGGACUGAGACACGGCCCAGACUCCUACGGGAGGCAGCAGUAAGGAAUUUUCCACAAUGAGCGAAAGCUUG